UCCCUGAAAGAGUAGUGGUUAGGACACAGCGCUCUCGCUGCUACAGCCCGGGUUUGAUUCCUGGCCAUGGAA